CUACGGGCCGCUGCAGUGAGGAAUAUUGCACAAUGGGGGAAACCCUGAUGCAGCAAUGCCGCGUGAACGAAGAAGGCCUAUGGGUUGUAAAGUUCUGUCAGGAGGGAAGAACAGGCCGGUUUUGCCGGCUUUGACGGUACCUCCAGAGGAAGCACCGGCUAACUCCGUGCCAGCAGCCGCGGUAAUACGGGGGGUGCAAGCGUUGUCCGGAAUCAUUGGGCGUAAAGAGUCUGUAGGUGGGGCGAUAAGUCUGGUGUGAAAGCCCACAGCUUAACUGUGGAACCGCACUGGAUACUGUCGCUCUUGAAUCAUAGAGGGGGUUGUGGAAUUUCUGGUGUAGAGGUGAAAUUUGUAGAGAUCAGAAAGAACACCGGUGGCGAAGGCGACAACCUGGCUAUGUAUUGACGCUGAGAGACGAAAGCGUGGGGAGCAAACAGGAUUAGAUACCCCGGUAGUC
rnacentral:rRNA from 1 species